UGAUGCCCCUCACCCACUACUGAAGAUCCCGGGUGGGCGAGGGACUGGCAGGGAUC
rfam:Lepisosteus oculatus linkage group LG3, whole genome shotgun sequence.